AGGGUAGAUAAGAACUUGCUGCAAGCAAAAUAAAAGACCAAGCCUCUCUCUAUAUAAAAAGGCAUAUACGUUAUAUAUACAUAUCUACCAUACAUGUACCUACAUACCUAGAAGUAUUUUAUAUAUGAGUGUUUGUGUAUAAAUCUAUUUUUACUUAUGUUUUAGAUACACCACCUUAUGCUGGGUUUGAUUCAGUGGUCAUAAAUGUGGACUGCAAGAGAGAUGCUGCCCAAAGAAAGAAAUGGUUUGGUUGGCUCAAAUGGUGAAUUCCCUUUAAUAACAGAGUUACUAAGGACUAUUACUAAAGACUAUUCUGCUGAACAAUGUUGACCCUAUCCUCUUGUUGCUUUCCUCUUUGAGAAAAUAAUUCACACUGUGGUGAAAGCCUAGAGUGACUGCAUUGUAUACACUGCCAAUUCAGGGUGGAGAGAGGGUGGCCCCAUGUGAAUAAGGUUUCUUAGAUGGAGUCUGGUACUUACCCCAAAGAAGAACUGAUCCUUUGAGGAAAUAUGCAGGAAGAAAUAUUCACUUAAAUUCUCUCUGAUUUAUGAUGAACAGUACCUGCCCGUCUUAAAGGAAUAUUGACCUCCUUUUUCACAAGAGGAAAAGAUAUGAGACCUGAAAAAUUCAAACCAAUUCUAGGAAUGUGUUCUUUUCACAACCAAAUCUUUUCAGAGAAGCUGUUUCUUGUGAUCCAUUUCUCAAAUGCACUCACAGAAGGCAUUGGGAAGUGAUUCGAGCUUACAGUGUCUAAGAGUAAUAACUCCUGUUAAUUGAGCACUUACCAUGUGUCAGGUGCUGAGCUAUGUGUUUUACCUAUAUUUAUCUGUUUAUGUCUUAACAAUGAUCCUAUUAGGUGCACCCUAUUUAUGUCUACAUUUUAUAGAGAAGAAAACUAAGGUAUGGAAAGGGUAAGUAACAAAUCCACUGUCACACAAUCAGUAAGUGGCAGAAGCAGAUUUCAACACAGGCAGCCAGGCUCCAGGCCCCAUCACUGUAACCCCAUCACUAUACCAAUACACCUUGCAUUGGUUUGGGAAUGGUGCUGAAGGUUCCAAAAACUCAGAAUAAAUUAGGAAAAAUCAGCUGGUUCCCACUGAUUUUGAGGGUUCUCCAUUACUGAUGGGAAGUCUUGGAAAAUAUCUACAGAAAAAGUGAAAACAGCAAUAGCAUCAAAGGUUCUGAUGAAAGCAGUGUCUCAUUGUGACUCAAUCCUUGGAAAAAAGUCAAGACUCCUGUUUUCCCCUGCUCAGCACUGACUACUGCAGUAGAGGCAGGAAGCACAGUGGAGUUUAACUCUUGUGCUGGUGGCACACCAUGGUCAACCACUGUUACCACUAAUUGCUAGUAUUGAGGGGACCUUACCUCACCCAUGAUCCUGGAUCCUACCCCUGACCAGCUGAAGAAUAAUGGAGGAAGAGAAAACAUGGAGGGAUCAAGAAAUAAAAAGAAGGUCAUGUGCUGAAGAAUAUGAGGGAAGAGUGGAGUUAGAAGAGGAGCAAGGUAAAACAGAACUACCUGACUCCAGCAUGAAAAUCCUCUUGAGAAACUCUCCUGCAGAGCUUGUCUCCCAGCCACGUCUACAUAUAUGCCUCUGUGGAUAGUACAUUAAUACUACUCACAAUAGAAGAGAGAAGAGGAACAUCCCCAUAGUUACUACAGCAAUUAACACAUCAAGCAUUGAGAAGCAUGAUGAAAGUGGGACCGGCAGCCAUGGCCCCCAAAGAUCCUAAAGGUGAAGGCUUGAAUCUAUCUCUCUAUUUCAUGGUCAUCCACUAGCUAGAGGAAGAAAAUUCAGAAUAUGCCUCCAGACUCCCACAUACACAGAAAAUCUCACCAGUGUAAAACCAAUUUGUUUUACUUUAAUACUCAGAGAUUGUUGUUUUCUGAAUGGUUAAGCAUCAAAAGCUGCCAAGAUACUGUGCAAAAUGAAAUUUAAAAUAGCAUGUUUAGCAAUUAAAUCUCAGUAAAUUGGCUAGUAUCAGUGCAAUAAAGUGCAAUAUACAAACACUGCUUUUCCACUUAAAUAAAAACCUAAGGGGAAAACCCAUAUAACAGAGACUCUCAGAUUUCAACACCCCUUCUCCACCCAAGAUAUUGAAGAUAGGAUCAAAUAUAUUGCAAGAUGUCUGCUGCACUUACAAGCUUUUCAAAUGCCUUCCCUACGAAGCCAGUUUCCCUUGUGCUCCAUCAAUUAUUUCUUUGUUUUGCCUGAACGGUGCUUGUAAACUCCUCAAGGUGUGCUCCUGGGCAGUUAUGCACAUUUGAGAUUUUUCCCUUCUGAUCCCUACUUGGCUGUCUCUGGACCAGAACUGAUUUGCAGGCAAGGGAAAACUGCUGAAAAUUUCAUGACAUUUAGAUUUAAAAAGCAUAUGGUAGUGGCUCAAUAGGUUUGCUUACCUUGGAUUAAAACCUAUUAACGUUCCAGCA